ensembl:lncRNA
CCCCAGUGCUUCAGCUAGCAUAAUUGUGGUUUGUUACCUGCAACUCUUCCUCCCAUUCAAUACUCUCUGAAAAUAUUAAUGUCAAGCCUGAGUUUCAGUUGUGGCCCUAGUCCUGGCCUAGGAGGAGAGGAUGGCCAACACUACAGUCAGAUGCUUGGACUGACAAGGAAUGAAGUGCUCGGCUGCAAAGAUUUGUCAGAGAAAAUGCAUUUGUUUCUACUGGAAGAAAUCACCACUUUUCUUUCCUCACUGUGGCAGAUAUCCACCAAACUUAAAACACCUGCACUAGCUCCUGGCUUCAGUAGCAUCUACAUAGAAGGAGCCAGAGGAAUGUAGGUCCCUGAGCACCAUUGAUAAGAGUUCCUACACUUGAAAGCACCUGCUCCUCAUAGUUCCUGGAGAUGCAAUAGUAGAUUCAUAUUUGUCACAUAAAUAUUGGAGAACCUGUCAUAUCUUUGAAGAUAAAUGUCCCCAGUGCCUUUGCCAACUUGUAGCCUUGUUGUAGAGUUUUGAUGAAGUGAUUUCAUGUGGACCCACCUGAGCUGGGUUAUAAAUUUGCCAUGAAUUAUGCAGAGAUCAGUACAGCCAUGAAGUGGACUGGGGAGGCUGCACAGCUGCUCUCCUUGCAUGUGACAUGAAGCAUGUGCCACUUAGGAGAAGCAGGGACAGUCUCCUGCACCCCUCCCUUCCAUCCACCAGCAAAUCCUCUCCUGGAUUAACCAAGUUCAGUAAAAGGUUGUCUGUUAUCUGGCUUUAUUUCAUACAGAUUUUCUUUUUUUUUUUCUGUGUCUGAGCCCUCUGCAAUGUCUUUUUGAUGAACUUUUAUAAUCUGUCUUGGCUUGCUGUUAAAGACUGGUAAAGGCCUUACAGUGUAUUUGUGUUAAAAUGCAAAGUGUUUGUGUCUGUGUCUUCGUCUGCGUGUGUGGGGGUUGGCAAAUCUCAGUAGGCAAGUGACUGUAAACUAUUUAUUUUUUCAUUUAGUUUGAAUGAUCAUCUACAGGCAUUAUGUAUAAUAAAAUUUACAUACUAAAAUGGCUUUCUGGAGAU